UACGUAGGGGGCGAGCGUUAUCCAGAUUUACUGGGCGUAAAGCGCGUGUAGGCGGCUGGUUAGGUGUGAUGUGAAAUCCUCGGGCUCAACCCGAGAACUGCAUUGCAAACCGGCCUGGCUAGAGUGCAGGAGAGGGAAGCGGAAUUCCAGGUGUAGCGGUGAAAUGCGUAGAGAUCCGGAGGAACACCGAAGGCGAAGGCAGUGUCCUGGCUGGUGACUGACGCUGAGGUGCGAAAGCUAGGGGAGCGAACGGG
rnacentral:rRNA from 1 species